GUAGGUGGCAAGCGUUGUCCGGAAUUAUUGGGCGUAAAGCGCGCGCAGGUGGUUCUUUAAGUCUGAUGUGAAAGCCCCCGGGCUCAACCGGGGGAGGGUCAUUGGAAACUGGGGAACUUGAGUGCAGGAGAGGAAAGUGGAAUUCCACGUGUAGCGGUGAAAUGCGUAGAUAUGUGGAGGAACACCAGUGGCGAAGGCGACUUUCUGGCCUGUAACUGACACUGAGGCGCGAAAGCGUGGGGAGCAAACAGGAUUAGAUACCCUGGUAGUCCACGCCGUAAACGAUGAGUGCUAAGUGUUGGGGGGGUUUCCGCCCCUCAGUGCUGCAGCUAACGCAUUAAGCACUCCGCCUGGGGAGUACGGUCGCAAAGACUG
rnacentral:rRNA from 1 species